GAUGAACGCUGGCGGCGUGCCUAAUACAUGCAAGUCGAGCGAACAGAUGAGGAGCUUUCUCCUCUUACUUUCGCGUCGGAGGGGUGAGUAACACGUGGAUAACCUACCUAUAUGACUGGGAUUACUUCGUGAAACCGGUGCCAAUUACGGCUAAUCUAUUCAACCCCAUGGUUCAAUAGUUAAAGACGUUUUUGCUUUCACUUAUCGAUUGAUCCGCGCCGCAUUAGCUAGUUGGUCAGGUAACGGCUUACCAAGGCAAUGAUUCGUAGCAGACCUGAGAGGGAGAGCGGCCACACUGGAACUGAGACACGGUCCAGACUCCUACGGGAGGCAGCAGUAGGGAAUAUUGCGCAAUGGGCGAAAGCCUGACGGAGCAACGCCGCGUGAGUGAAGAAGGUCUUCGGAUUGUAAAACACUGUUAGUAGGGAAGAAGAAAGGAGAAAGUAAAUAUGCACGUAUUGACGGUACCUAAACAGAAAGCAACGGCUAACUACGUG
rnacentral:rRNA from 1 species